CAGUCGCCACGGGAAUACGGAGGGUGCAAGCGUUAAUCGGAAUUACUGGGCGUAAAGCGCACGCAGGCGGUCUGACAAGUCAGAUGUGAAAUCCCCGGGCUUAACCUGGGAACUGCAUUUGAAACUGUCAGGCUGGAGUCUUGUAGAGGGGGGUAGAAUUCCAGGUGUAGCGGUGAAAUGCGUAGAGAUCUGGAGGAAUACCGGUGGCGAAGGCGGCCCCCUGGACAAAGACUGACGCUCAGGUGCGAAAGCGUGGGGAGCAAACAGGAUUAGAUACCCGCGUAGUCCCUGUCUCUUAUAA
rnacentral:rRNA from 1 species